UGACGUCAGCGGCCCAUGGCGGCGGCGGCGGCGGCGGCGGCGGCGGCGGAGCCCUGGCGGCCGGUGGCCCCGCGGAGGAGGCGCCCAGCGGCUCGGCGGCCGCGGCAGAGGCAGAGGCCGGCGGCGGCGGCCGGGGACCCCGAGGCGGACCCCGACGUGGACGGCGGAGUCGUGCUUCGCCGCAUCCGGGAGGCCAGGGAAGACCUGCGAGUUUCUGAUUUCUGGAGCUCAGCACUGGAAACCAUCAACAAAUGCCUUAUGAAACAUCUGGAACAGCUGGAUGCCCCUGUGGGGACUCUGUCGGAAGCCAUUGGGAGCCUGCACCUCGACUCAUCACCCGAUGACUCGGGGGCGGCUCCUGGCUGCAGCCCGGGAGCCAGCCUGGCCCCGGGGGCCCUCGGCUGGAAGUGUGUGUGUUACGGCAUCGGGAGCUUUGCCACCUGUGUCAUCGCCAGAAACCAGCUAGCGUUUUUGCUUCUCUUCCUGGAAGAGUGCCAGAUUCCCAGAAGUCACUGCUGGGUGUAUGACCCUCUGUUUAGCCGGCUGGAAAUUGCAGUGCUUACCGCCCUCGGGGUGACUGUCCUCGGUGAGAACGAGGAAGGGAAGCGGAGUGUGUGUGGCGAGCCCACCAUCUUCUACAUGCUGCACUGCGGGACCGCCCUGUACAACAACCUUCUGUGGAGCAACUGGUCCGCUGACGCCCUCUCCAAGAUGGUCAUCAUUGGCAACAGCUUCCGCGGCCUGGAGGAGAGGUUGUUGACAAGGAUUCUGCAGAAAAACUAUGCCUAUGUCGCACAGGUUCUAGGAGGCCUGGAGGAGCAGGCACUUCCCCAGACAGCACAGUACUCAGACGUGUUCAAUGACACCUCUGUGCACUGGUUCCCAGUCCAGAAGCUACAGCAGCUCCCCGCCGACACCUGGGCAUCUCGGGAAGAGCCCGAUUACCGGGACUGCGAGGACCUCGAGAUCAUCAGGAGCCAGGCAGGUGCCUCAGCCGCCGGCCAGGCAGGGCCGUGACGUAGGAAGUGCUGGCGGAGGCAGCAGCAGCAGCACCAGGACGGGGAGGCGGCCAUGGAGGGGCUGCGGGUACUCACGUCCCCCCAGCGCAGGAAGCCCUCAGCCGGCUCUCGUGGGGAGAGGAGACAGGCUGUGGAAGAACUGGGGGUAAAGCUAAGUUGUACGCACUUCUCUCAAGUACCUUAUCACACCUCACACCUGCCUUGGGGCCUGGCUGGUGGGGAGAAUCCACUGAAUAGAGAAGUGACUCUUCCAAAGGCAGCUCCGGAGGUUUAGUCAGACGUGAGCAGCCGCCCGGCUGCGCCUACUUGGCCAUGUCGAUGAGGCUCUGCAGGGAGGUGGGCACCCAGGUCUUCUCGCCCUGCACGAACACCACCCCGCGGUCGAUGUAGAUGACGAUGCGGCCGAAGGUGUAGAGCUGCUUGCCCUCGUGCCGCUUCCCGAUGACGGGCAUGAAGACGAUGUUGUGCUCCUCGGCCUUGGUCUCGAUGAGGUCCUUAAAGUUCAUGGGCACGGAGCUGGCGGCCGCGCCGAUGCCCCUCUGGGCCAUGUUCUCGGCCUCCCGCCGCUCCUGCAUGGCCUCGUACUGGAAGUCCUUCCUCCGCUCCGUGUGGGUGAGAACCCCACUCACCCACGUUGGAGGACACCGCCCUGUUCAUGAUGUCCAGCGCUUCGUUGAACUUGUCCUUGAUGGAGGGGUGUGCCAGCACUUGGUCGGAGAACAUGGACUUCCAGCCCAGGUACCACUUGGUGAUCUCCUCGUAGUUGGGGCUGUUACUGAGCCAGGAGCACAGCACCUGCC